rnacentral:sRNA from 1 species
GGAUGUGAGGGUUAUCUGGCUGUGACAUCUGUCACCCCAUGAUAACCAGGGUUGACUCAGCUGGUCUGGCUGGAGAGGCGGGUGUCCACUUCCUCCCUCACUGUUCC